rnacentral:rRNA from 1 species
GCUUAGCCCUAAACUUAGAUAUUUUAACACACAAAAAUAUCCGCCAGAGAACUACGAGCAAAAUGCUUAAAACUCUAAGGACUUGGCGGUACCUCAAACCCCCCUAGAGGAGCUUGUUCUAUAAAUCGAUAAUCCACGAUUCACCUCACCAUCUUUUGCCAAUCCCGCCUAUAUACCGCCGUCACCAGCUUACCCCAUGAGGGAUAUAAAAGUAAGCAAAAUAACUAACAGUUAAUAAGUCAGGUCAAGGUGUAGCUAAUUAAGAUGGAAGAAAUGGGCUACAUUUUCUACUUUAGAAAUCAAUUCACGGAAGGGAACUAUGAAAUAAGUCCCACAAGCAGGAUUUAGCAGUAAACUGAGAUCAGAGUGCCCAAUUUAAGCUGGUCCUGAGGUGC